GUAGAGAUCGGGAGGAAUACCAGUGGCGAAGGCGGCCUUCUGGACUGACACUGACACUGAGGUGCGAAAGCGUGGGUAGCAAACAGGAUUAGAUACCCUGGUAGUCCACGCCGUAAACGAUGUCGACCAGCCGUUGGGUGCCUAGCGCACUUUGUGGCGAAGUUAACGCGAUAAGUCGACCGCCUGGGGAGUACGGCCGCAAGGUUAAAACUCAAAUGAAUUGACGGGGGCCCGCACAAGCGGUGGAGCAUGUGGUUUAAUUCGAUGCAACGCGAAGAACCUUACCUACUCUUGACAUCCUGCGAACUUGUGAGAGAUCACUUGGUGCCUUCGGGAGCGCAGAGACAGGUGCUGCAUGGCUGUCGUCAGCUCGUGUUGUGAAAUGCUGGGUUAAGUCCCGUAACGAGCGCAACCCUUGUCCUUAUUUGCCAGCGGGUAAUGCCGGGAACUCUAAGGAGACUGCCGGUGACAAACCGGAGGAAGGUGGGGACGACGUCAAGUCAUCAUGGCCCUUACGAGUAGGGCUACACACGUGCUACAAUGGCCGGUACAAAGGGUUGCGAGCUCGCGAGAGUCAGCUAAUCCCGAAAAGCCGGUCUCAGUCCGGAUCGGAGUCUGCAACUCGACUCCGUGAAGUCGGAAUCGCUAGUAAUCGUGAAUCAGAAUGUCACGGUGAAUACGUUCCCGGGCCUUGUACACACCGCCCGU
rnacentral:rRNA from 1 species